CGCUUUGCGGAACUGCUAACAACGCCGAAUAGCCAUAUAGGUGCCUACAAAAUGCUUCACAGUACCUAGAGUCCCUCAGUACGGGGGAUCUGUGCAGUUUUAUCUCUCAAUUUAUAUGCAUUUUUCGCCUUUCCUUGAAUAUCCGAGUAGCCUGACGUCGCAUGCAUUUUUUUCAUUUUCAGAGGCCUAAUACUCAUUCGUAUUUCACUGCUGCCGCCUUCUUUAUCCUUUUUUUUUCUCAAGGUGGCUGAGAUGAAGUGGACACUGCGGUCUCUGCCAUUUCAGGGCCACCCGGAUGAAUUUGCAAGAGAUGUAAGUGGCUCGAUGGAUAUUACUGUGAGCACCUGGGCUCUAUAAGGCACCAAGCCUUUCAUAUUGGCUCAGCUGCCAUUGUUUCCUCUGCAUCUAUUUGAAGAGACAAUCAUCACGUGACAAAGCAACACCGAAAGCCCUUGCACUCCACUAUUACCAGAACCACUUUAAUUGGUACAGUCGUUUCACGAAAUCCUGGACCCGUCAACCAUGUUUCUUAGAGCCCAUGGUUUCUUCCGUGUAAACAUGGCGCAGAUGAUUUCGAUGUGUGCAGCGGUGAUAACAUACACUGUUAUCCUUAUACAAACAAGUCAAAGUGUCAAGGGUUAACGUCGGCAAGCUUUAGAUGUUCCAUUAAGAAAAAUAAAAGCCGCACGUACAAACGCUA